GUUGAGUUUAAACCCGCGUGUCCCGCAGCUCCGGACUCAGGACUUGUCCUAUUUCCGAGAUAUGCCGCGGGCCGAAGGAUACCUGGCGCGGAUCCGGCCGGCUCAGCUCACGCACCGCGGGACGUUCUCCUGCGUGAUCAAGCAAGACCAGCGCCCCCUGGCCCGGCUCUACUUCUUUCUUAACGUGACGGGCCCGCCCCCGCGGGCGGAGACAGAGUUGCAGGCCUCGUUCCGGGAGGUGCUGCGCUGGGCGCCGCGGGAUGCCGAGCUGAUCGAGCCCUGGAGGCCCAGCCUGGGCGAGCUGCUGGCCAGGCCCGAGGCUCUGACGCCCAGCAACCUAUUCCUGCUUGCAGUCCUCGGGGCCCUCGCAUCAGCGAGUGCGACAGUGUUGGCGUGGAUGUUCUUUCGAUGGUACUGCAGUGGCAACUAACAAAGAUAUCUCUUUCCUCCUUCCCUAUCCUAUUUCCAUCCUGAAAAUAAAGAAUAUAUUUCGACUGUA
rnacentral:sRNA from 1 species